rnacentral:rRNA from 1 species
GACGAACGCUGGCGGCGUGCUUAACACAUGCCAGUCGAACGGACAGGCCCUGCUUUUGUGGGGUGCUCGAGUGCCGAACGCGUGAGUAACACGUGAGUAACCUCCCCUUGUAUUUGGGAUAACUUCAGGAAACUGGGGCUAAUACCGGAGAGGAGCUCCUGCUGCAUGGUGGGGGUUGGAAAGUUUCGGCUGUUGGGGAUGGACUCGCUGGUUAUCCGCUUGUUUGUGGGGUAGUGGCUUACCAAGGCUUUGACGGGUAGCCGGCCUGGGAGGGUGACCGGGGACCUUGGGACUGAGGGAGGGACCAGAAUCCUACGGGAGGCAGCAGUGGGGAAUAUUGCACAAUGGGCGGAAGCCUGAGGCAGCAACGCCGGGUGCGGGAUGACGGGCUUCGGGUUGUAAACCGCUGUCGCCGGUGACGAAGCGGGAGUGACGGUAAUGGGUAAAGAAGCACCGGCUAACUACGUG